UUAUAUUUUAAAUUUUAAAAUAUAAAUAUAAAAUAUAAAAGUUUAAAUUCUAAUAUAAAAAAAAGAUAAUAUCAUUAUUUUUUAUUUUUAACUACCAACUUUAAUUUUUAUUUCAUCUUACCUAACCAAACGCUAUUUUUUUUAUUCCCAGCAAUAACUCAAUUUUCACCCCAAACACAAAAUUGAUCUAAUCCUCACUUAUACCUCAAUUUAUACAUAUUCCCGGAAUAUCCACUUUUUGCUUAUCCCUGAACCAAACGAUAUCUAAAAGUAUAUAAGAGAAGUUGAGGUCUAGACGUCUAGUCCAUGU
rnacentral:lncRNA from 1 species